GACGAACGCUGGCGGCGUGCUUAACACAUGCGAGUCGAACGGAAAGGCCCUGCUUGCAGGGUACUCGAGUGGCGAACGGGUGAGUAACACGUGGGUGAUCUGCCCUGCACUUCGGGAUAAGCCUGGGAAACUGGGUCUAAUACCGGAUAGGAGCCAUUUUUAGUGUGAUGGUUGGAAAGUUUUUUCGGUGUAGGAUGAGCUCGCGGCCUAUCAGCUUGUUGGUGGGGUAAUGGCCUACCAAGGCGGCGACGGGUAGCCGGCCUGAGAGGGUGGACGGCCACAUUGGGACUGAGAUACGGCCCAGACUCCUACGGGAGGCAGCAGUGGGGAAUAUUGCACAAUGGGCGCAAGCCUGAUGCAGCGACGCCGCGUGGGGGAUGACGGCCUUCGGGUUGUAAACUCCCUUCGCUAGGGACGAAGCUUUUUGUGACGGUACCUAGAUAAGAAGCACCGGCUAACUACGUG
rnacentral:rRNA from 1 species